rnacentral:lncRNA from 1 species
CAGCCAUUAGUGUUAAAAUCAUUGAUAUCGGACGAAGAUAGUUAAGUUUAAACGUUUCAUCAUUUAGUUAUCGCACUAGACUAGUACUUUGUGAAAUAUCACAAAUAAUGAGUGAAUUAGCGAAUUGUUUCCCUUUGAAAUCUACACGCCAUUAACGGUGUAUACAUGUGUGAAACUGGGUCAGAGAAAACAUGCAGUUAUUGCUCUGAAUAUACGCGGAUAUUUAAAGUGCAUGGCGGAUUUAUUUGUUGUUAUGGUAAGUGUUUAUUUUCAUCAUAAAUUUAUCCGUAACUUAAGUAAAGAAAAGAAUGAACAGACCGCUUCUUUUGUUAAUGUAUCGAAGAUACAACUUGGCAGCGAAAAAUGACCGUGUUGACAUUUCGAUUUGACUGUCUGCUGUCAAGUACUUUUAAUAUUUUUUUUCUGUAUAUUUGUAAAUUUUCAUGAUGGCAGAAUAUAUUUGUAGCCAAGACAGUCAGGCAUCUACUAUAUUAAGUAUAUUCUGUAUGAAAUUUUCUGUCUAGAAAUUGUAAAUGAACAGGAAUAUUGUACAUCUUUUUAACUGUCAGUCACAGAUGUGAACUGGUGAAUAAUUACAUGGUCAUUAUGCACAUACAGUAGAAUCUAUGACAAUUGGAAAAGAAAAGUAGAAUCUACAAUAACACAGGAAAAGUGGUGUUUUAAAUUGUCACUUUUUGUUGUAAUAUCAAUUAAAAUAGACCUGAAAAUUUCUAAAAAAUUCUACAUGCAAUUUACAAUAUCUAAAAACUACUUUUUUCACUCUCACUACUGUCAGUACUUGCAGACAGCAUACUGGUAGGCUACUAAAUAAAUGAAAAAAAAAUUGUUUAAAUUUUUUAGGACAACAUUCAGCAGUAUGAGAUAUAAAUGUUCACUGCAGUUUUGACAAUGCCGAUCAAGUGGAGUUGCUGUGAGUUCUCAUGCAGUGUAUAAAAAGUACAGUACUGCUGUUGGAAGAGGAGCAGUGUGGUAUCUAUGGUCCACCAUCACUUCAAGCAUUAUGACUGUGGAUAAAAGAAGGUUUCAUUACAUAUGGACAACUAUAUUGGACAAAAUAAGAAGUGUUCUAAUAAGUUCUGGAAUGUGGCUUGUUAUGAUGGGUCUACAUGAUUGACUUGGAGUACAACCUGAUGGGGACUGGGCUUGCAGAAUUCAGUCCUGAACAUGUUUAGUUAUAUUUGGCUUGUCACCUCUUUAAGCAGUUUUUUUUUUGUGUAAUAAUCAAGUAUUGAUAAAACUUGCUGCAGAGUUCAUGUCUGUAAAUAGGCCACUUAUAUUAAGAUGCCACAUUUUCUGUUUCUUUUUAUGUUGUUAAAGAGUGUCUAGCUCACUGCAAGCCAGUUCAACAGAAAUAACAUAAUUGUAAUACAGUAACUGUUUUUUCUUAACCAGGUUAAAGAACUAUUUGUUAAAUCGAGAUCAAAAUCAUGUGCAUUACUUGAUGUAAAAUAUGUGCGAUGGUUGAAAUUUUUUAUGAAAAGAGGUUGUCAUUACUAUAAUAAAAUUCUAAAAUGUAAUUUAAUGUAAUUAUGUGUGGUAUUAGUGUUCUUUGUCUUAAAUAUUUGAUACAUUUAUCAUUACAGAAUGUCAGAAUGACCUAGUAUAGUAUAGUUUUUGUAUGUAAGCUGGUAUCUCAGUAUCCACAAAUUGGAAAGGAUCGAAACUUCACACACUUGUUCACUGUCAUGAUAUGACAUGCAGUACAGAGGUUCAAUACCUCUACGUUGCAUUUUACAAAAUUAUGCCCCUUUUUCAACUUUUGUAUUAAUUCAAUUGACAAGGCUGUUGAAUAGUCGAGCGUUGCUGUCCUCCGACAUCUCUUGUUUUAAUAUAAAAUAGCAUAUUUAUAGCAAGAAGGCAUUAUCAACUGUGCUAAUCAUGUUAAAUACUUUUGAUAUUGAUGGCAAAAUAUGAAAUUAAAAUAUAUGAUAAAAAUAGA